rnacentral:rRNA from 1 species
GUGUCAGCAGCCGCGGUAAUACAGAGGGUGCAAGCGUUAAUCGGAAUUACUGGGCGUAAAGCGAGCGUAGUCGGUUAUUUAAGUCGGGUGUGAAAGCCCCGGGCUCAACCUGGGAAUUGCAUUCGAUACUGGAUAGCUAGAGUUCGGCAGAGGGAAGCGGAAUUUCCGGUGUAGCGGUGAAAUGCGUAGAUAUCGGAAGGAACAUCAGUGGCGAAAGCGGCUUCCUGGACCAGAACUGACGAUCAGGCUCGAAAGCGUGGGGAGCAAACAGGAUUAGAUACCCUCGUAGUCC